rnacentral:rRNA from 1 species
GCGGUAUGCUUAACACAUGCACCUUGAACGAAAUUACUAGCAAUAGUAAUUUACGUGGCGGACGGGUGAGUAAUAUGUAAGAAUCUGCGCUUGGGUGAGGAAUAACAGAUGGAAACGUUUGCUAAUGCCUCAUAAUUUACUAGAUCUAUGUGAGUAGCUAGUUAAAGAGAAUUUCGCCUAGGCAUGAGCUUGCAUCUGAUUAGCUUGUUGGUGAGGUAAAGGCUUACCAAGGCGACGAUCAGUAGCUGAUUUGAGAGGAUGAUCAGCCACACUGGGAUUGAGAACGGAACAGACUUCUACGGAAGGCAGCAGUGAGGAAUUUUCCGCAAUGGGCGCAAGCCUGACGGAGCAAUACCGCGUGAAGGAAGACGGCCUUUGGGUUGUAAACUUCUUUUCUCAAAGAAGAAGAAAUGACGGUAUUUGAGGAAUAAGCAUCGGCUAAUUCCGUGCCAGCAGCCGCGGUAAUACGGGAGAUGCGAGCGUUAUCCGGAAUUAUUGGGCGUAAAGAGUUUGUAGGCGGUCAAGUGUGUUUAAUGUUAAAAGUCAAAGCUUAACUUUGGAAGGGCAUUAAAAACUGCUAGACUUGAGUAUGGUAGGGGUGAAGGGAAUUUCCAGUGUAGCGGUGAAAUGCGUAGAGAUUGGAAAGAACACCAAUGGCGAAGGCACUUUUCUAGGCCAAUACUGACGCUGAGAAACGAAAGCUGAGGGAGCAAACAGGAUUAGAUACCCUGGUAGUCUUGGCCGUAAACUAUGGAUACUAAGUGGUGCUGAAAGUGCACUGCUGUAGUUAACACGUUAAGUAUCCCGCCUGGGGAGUACGCUUGCACAAGUGAAACUCACAGGAAUUGACGGGGGCCCGCACAAGCGGUGGAGCAUGUGGUUUAAUUCGAUGCACCACGCAGAACCUUACCAGGAUUUGACAGGAUCUCGGAGGAAGUUGAAAGAACGCCGUACCUUCGGGUAUCUAGACACAGGUGGUGCAUGGCUGUCAUCACCUCUUGUCGUGAGAAGUUGGGUUAAGUCCC